rnacentral:rRNA from 1 species
UACCAGCACCCCGAGUGGUCGGGACGAUUAUUGGGCCUAAAGCAUCCGUAGCCGGUCAUGCAAGUCUUCCGUUAAAUCCAGCCGCUCAACGGUUGGGCUGCGGGAGGAUACUACGUGGCUAGGAGGCGGGAGAGGCAAGCGGUACUCAGUGGGUAGGGGUAAAAUCCUUUGAUCCAUUGAAGACCACCAGUGGCGAAGGCGGCUUGCCAGAACGCGCUCGACGGUGAGGGAUGAAAGCUGGGGGAGCAACCGG